GUUACUGCACUGACUGUCCACACGUGCGUUUCUGUUCUACACUACAGUCAGAAAGUCUAGCAGCAUGAACAUUCUGCAGAAUUUGUCCAUUUAUGCUCCACCGAAGAAAGAAAGUCAUAUGGAUUAGGAACAACAUGAAGAGAGACACAUGCCAGCUCUUACAGUACACGUCACUGUGAGCCCAAGCGCUCUGUUGUACGUCUGACUGAAUGGAGGCUUCAGACAAAACAACACUCUUUUAUAAUGGACGAGCAGCUACAGUGUGCAUCUAAAA